AUCCCUUCGGCUAAGAUCAAGUGUAGUAUCUGUUCUGAUCAGUUUAAUAUCUGAUAUGUCCUCUAUCCAAAGACAAUAUAUUAAAUGGAUUUUUGGAGCAGGGAGAUAGAAUAGGAGCUUGCUCCGUCCACUCCACACAUCGACUUGGUAUUGCAGUACUUCCAGGUACGGUGCACCUCCU
rnacentral:snRNA from 1 species